UCCGCGAGACCCGGAGGACCCCCUACCUUGCGGGCGAGGGGCGGGGCUGGAGCGGGGGGAGCAGAGGCCUUUCCCGGGGAGGAGGGAGUGUCCUCGGGCGCCGGAUACCUCGUCUCAGCGCAGCCCCCCCAACCUGGGGGGAGGGGACCACCCGGGGCAGAGAGCCUUUGACCCAAUCUAGGGGCGGGGCAGAGGUGACAGCUGUAGCUGGAAAAGGGAAAGGACUUGAGCAAAGGCCAGGGCUGUUGGAGUAACCAAAAAAAGUUCGGUGUCCACCAAAGGACACGGUGUGGGAGUGAGAGGUACAGAGCACUUACUGUGACCCUACCCCUUGCGAAUGUUAGUGCAGCAAAUCUUCAGGACAGCUCUGUGCUGUAGGCUCUGUCCUUAAUGCCAUUUUACAGAUGGGAAAACUGAGCCCUCGAGAGUCCCAUGGGACACCGCGGACAGCCGGCUGCCUGGAGAUGGCAGCCCCAGAAGUGGUGACCAGCCCCCCUGGCCCGCCAGCCACCCUUGGGGCCUUACAGGGGUGUCCCCUGGAAAAGCCGUGACAUCUUCAGCUGCAUACUCGGGACACUGGUCUGCUGGAAGCCUCUGUGGGAUGGGACCACACUGGAGGUCCCUGUGGGUGCCACUCUGUGACUGACCAGGCUGGGAGGGGUCGGGGCCCGCAUCCUGCCCUAGAGGUCAGAAGAGCCCACCAUCAGGGAGGGCCAAGAACGGGGCUACGGGCUGCUGUCCCCGCCGGUGAGCAGAGAGGAGCUGCUGAUUCUGGGCAGGAGAGCAGUGGGUGCUGGAGCUCAGGAGGGUCACUGGAUAGAAACUCUGCGCCCGCCUCGUGGGGACACCAGCUUCAGGGGGUGUGACAUGACACAGGCCGUCAUUUGGGGGGGGGGGUUGUGAUUGUUUUUGCUUUGGCUGAGAACAGAAGAUCGGGCUCAGAAAACCAGCACCAAGCAGACUGAACAGAAGGCACAGGGGGGUGGGGGCGUGUGGGUGGGAGCGGGGCGGGAGUGGCACGUUCCUACCCAGCCUCUCCAGGAGGAGCGGGAUGGAGAGGGAAAGCCCAAGAGGCUGCCUCUCCAUCACGGCUCUGGCAGGUCCCAGCCUUCAGCCUCUGCGACAUCAGCAGACUCCUGGGGCCGGCGCCCGUCCCUUCCUCCAGGACCACGCCGCAGCUGCCACCCCCAUCGUCCACCCAGGAGCCCCCACCUCCCUCCCCACCUGCCGCCUUGAGGACCCGGCUUCCUGCAGGAAAGAGGCAGCGGCCACGGCGGAGGGGCCCUCCCUGGGAAGCCCGUCACUGCCUCAGAUGAAGCGGUCCCCGCUGAGUGCUUUGCCAGGGUCUACGAGGCAAUUCAAGAUGAGAAAUGGCACGGUGGCUUCGGGAAGGCAAAUCAUUCCAACAGCACCUUAAAAACAUCGACAGCAUCAAGCUCUUUGUGUGUGUGUGAAAAUGGGGAAUAUAUUGUUUUUCACUGUUUGGAAGACUGUUUUCUCAUCUUGAAAUCACAAGCUGUUUUCUUCCAGAGAGACUUAUAAAUACAUCCAAUUAUCGACAUUCAAUAUAGGAAAUAAAGUUCUGAAAUGGUUUUCUUCCGCACAUGGGGAGUGGGCCGGCCGGGUUGCGCAGGUGAUAAUGACUUUUAUUUCUUGCAAGUCGAAGCCGUGCCGAGUGGCUGGUCCCGCCACCUUUUAUUGCUUUCACCUUUAUUGCAUUUCCCGUGUUGUGCUGGGCUAUU